AAGUGUAAUAGCUCUUUUAAAAUUUGUCUUGCAGGUUUUCCAGUCCUUGCCAGAAGACCUCA
rnacentral:snRNA from 1 species